GGCUCAGCUUGGUGUGAGCAGCUAAAGUGAAGGAUGGUCAGAUCAUUCAGAGGUACGAUGAGAGGCACAGCUCUACCACAUCUGCUCUUAAUUAAAGUCCUCUCAGCUGGUCUGACUGUGAGUCCCAGCAGAUCUCAGUUCUUUAAAGGAGACUCUGUGUCUCUGAGCUGUGAGGAGGAGAAC